UACGGGGGGGUAAGCGUUGUUCGGAAUUACUGGGCGUAAAGCGUGCGCAGGCGGUUCGCCAAGUCAGGUGUGAAAUCCCCGGGCUUAACCUGGGAAUUGCGCUUGAAACUAGCGGGCUUGAGUGUGGCAGAGGGGGGUGGAAUUCCACGUGUAGCAGUGAAAUGCGUAGAGAUGUGGAGGAACACCGAUGGCGAAGGCAGCCCCCUGGGUCAACACUGACGCUCAUGCACGAAAGCGUGGGGAGCAAACAGG
rnacentral:rRNA from 1 species